UCCCACAAUCUGCACGAUCUCAGUAAUUGUAGGAAAACAAAGCGUCAUAUAACUGAUGGGAUCCGUAUAACUGCUCUCCAAGAUCCUCUUCAACUCUAACCAUUUUCUUCUCCGAUCAAUCCUCUACUACGCCGAGAUUCUGCCUCCUUUACGGGUACCUUUCAGCCACAAAGAGACACGGGAACUCCAUAUAACAUUUUUUCUCUUUCUUCUGCACUUGAUGCUCAUUCUGUUAAGAGAUUGUCCAUGGAUAGAACUAGCAUGGCGAAUUCGAGUUGCAAGAAGAGGAUAAUGGAGUUGAGCUACUGUCUUAGUAAUUCUCUCAAGAGUUGCUCGAUGAUUUUGUCCACAACGAAAGGUUCUAUUUGCUGCAUUUCGGGCUAUUUUGAAGGAUGGGAAGCGAUCAAGACUAUGUGAUUUGUGUUGGCUCUGCUUAAAAUAAAACUUUGUGCCAUUUGGGGCUGAUUGAGGAUAUGAGGCGGCAGUCAAAUGAAACUAGGGAGACAAUAGUAAUACUUACUGUGCCACAACUAGAGGCUAUAGUGAGUUGAGGUGUUGCUAUGCUUUUGGAUUGAGACCCUUUAUUGGGGAAUGUAAGAAUACUCUUUUCUUGAUUAUCUAUGUUGAUUUUCUUUUGAAUUUGAGACAAAUUUUAACCUUGAUCUUUACAUGAGUGCAUAAGAUGGAAGUUUCUUUUA